rnacentral:snoRNA from 1 species
CUAGACUGUAUGAUGCAAGUUAUUACGGAUGUAAAGAGUCACAGACUCACUUGUCCGAGAGCGCAAAAACCUCGUGUGGAUGAUUCCGUUGCCUUCCUUCUGACUUAAAUUUU